CGAUCCAAGCGUUACAUUAAAAAAGAGAAAUUAAAUUAUAAUUUCUCAUCAAUUUACUAUAUAAAUAUUUGUAAAAGGUUUAUAAAUCAUUAAAUACAUAAUUAAAUGUAAAAAAUGUGGUUUCUUCAGUUGAAAUAUAAGUUCCGAGAUAAGCUGGCGGCUGGGAGUCGUGGCGUGCUCCUGUAAUCCAGCUACUUGGAGGCCGGGGUUGGUGGACGGCUUGAGGCGAGGAGCCCUCCCUUCUGGUUCCCUAUGUUGACCGGUUGUCCGCACUAGGCCCAGCGUCAAUAUGGCGACCCCGGGGGAGCCCGGGGCCUCCAGGUCAGCUAAGGAGGAGUGGACCGGCCCAGGGCGGAAACGCAGCAGGCAAAAGCUCCCGCGCAGGGCGGUAGUGGGAUCGCGUCCGUGAAUAGUGUCCAGAUGGGAGCCUCGCCGAUAUAGUUGGACCCAACUCUUUUUUUUUUUUUUUUAGUAUUUUUAUUCAAUUAGGAAUGCACCUUUUUUUUUUUUUCAUUAAAAUUAUAGCACUGUCGUUGAAAAGAAGCUCAUGCGGUUAAACUUCAAGUGUCGUUUUACACUUACAAGUCUGUUAGGUUACUUGCACUCGCUGGUGGGGUUGGACUUUUGCAAGAACCGGGGACCAUUGGACCUUUUUUUUUUUUAAUAUAAAAAAGUGCCAAAUGCGGGAUUACCGGUCGAAAACCAACGGUUUAGACCCCCUUUCCACCGACCCCAUAUUUUUUUCGUUAACAUUUUAAAGUAUACCGAAAAAUGGAUUAAUUAAAAAGACUUUAUUUUAAUUCUUUCACACACACUGUAUUAUCGAAUUCUGUUUUAAAAAUAAAUUUGGGCGUUUUGAAAAAUACAUCUGUCCUAAUAACAAGCAGGUGAAGUUUCUUGGAGAUACUGAUGGCUACAUUGGUUCUGUUGUUGUUAUUUCUUAUCCCCUUGUGUAAAGAUUACACAAAUUCCAUGAGUUCAUGAUCUCAUGUAAUGGGGUAUAGGGGGGGCAGCUUUCAUUGAUCAUGGCAUCAUGAUCCAGGCACAUUUUGGUGAAAGUCUGACUUUGCCUGUAUUUUGAGGCUGUUCCUAACAUGGAAGCCUUUGCUGCCGACUCUAACAUGAGUACAGACACAGCUCCUCCGUAUCCCUGGAGAGGGACCCAUGCUGAGGUCUAUCAACCGGGUCAGUUGAACUCAGGAUUUAUAAAGAGGGAGUGUCCCUCCUGGUUAUAGCAUCAAGUCUAUCAGAACAAGACUUGAUCGUGUAGAGGGUUUACUGUACCUCCCAACAAUGUCCACUGCACCACAGGCCAGUUACAGAGGGGUAAGCACAUUGGUUCUGGAUAGGCUAAACUGAAUGGCUCGCAGUGCAAAAUACUGUUGCAGGUACAAUUCAGGUUUUGUGCCAAAAUUGAAUAAGAAACCCAUGCGAGACCUAACAGUAUUUUCAUGAAGAUAGAGGCUGCCUGGUCGGCAUUCAUAGUUCUUAAAAUUAAAGUUACUUCGGCCAGUAAAUCUUUUUUAUUGUCUCGACGUUUCGACAAAAAUCUUUUGACUUCCUCCAAACCACACUAAACGUCGAGAUAAUAGAAAAUAAUUACUGACCGAAGUAUCUUUAAUAUUAAGGACUUUAACAGUAUCUGUACCAAUACAAAACAUACAAACAUACAUACCAAAAUAUACAAAGGUGAAUUUAAAAAAUCAUAAAAGUCUGGGUAAAAUGUGCAGACUAUGAAGAAAUGUAUUGUUACGUCGUACCCAGUCGCUGUACUUUGUCUACUCAGGAGGCCACAAAGACACACGUGAGUUCGAAGGGAUGCAGCUAAAGUUAGCGCUUUAUUGUAUCUCACUAAACAGAAGGAGUACAAUCAGUAGGACUUACCUUCAACCUCCCCGUCAGAAGAAUCCUUGGCGCCGUGGAUGUCACUCUUGUGUUCCGCUCCACACUGUACAUGUCCAGCCUGGACUACACCGUCUUGUAGGCUGCUCCGAUGUCAGUCUCUCCUGGCACCGUCUUGUAGGAUCAUCCACACGCCCGGAGACAAGUCGCCACGUCUUCUCCUUGCCACAGAUGUGACCAGACUCUGUCCUCCCCCACACAGGAAUGCUGUUUUUAGCGCCUGCCACAUGGCGGCUAGAGUCCACCCCUCUUUCCCCAACUUUACUCUGGUAACUUGUCAUCCAUGUUACAAUAGUUUCAAUUCUCUACAUAAUCUCCUUUUUCAAUGCACCUCUUCCAAAGGUCAGGUAGCUGAGAAGAAGCGGCAAGUUGUCUGUGGGAGUGUAGCCGUGUGUAUGAUCCUGCAAGAUGUCAGAGAAAUUUGCACGACCUGGACAGCUGUGGAAGAUCCUUCUGAUGGCGGACAUUGGAGACAUCUAAUCUCUACUGGCAGCUACUGGUAAUAAAGUACGUUGUGAUGCAUUAGCGCGCCAUCUGUUAUGAAAAUUCGAAACUAUUGUAACGUGGAUGACAAUGCCAAGAUUCCAGAGUAAAGUUGGGGAAAGAGAGCUGGACUCCAGCUGUCAUGUGGCAGGCGCUAAAAACAGCAUUCCUGUGUGGGGGAGGACAGAGUCUGGUGACAUCUGCGCCGAGGAGAAGACGCGGCGACUUGCCUCCGGGCGUGUGGAUGAUCCUACAAGACGGUGCCAGGAGAGACUGACAUCGGAGCGGCCUACAAGACGGUGUAGUCCAGGCUGGACAUGUACAGUGUGGAGCGGGACACAAGAGUGACAUCCACGGCGCCAAGGAUUCUUCUGACGGGGAGGUUGAAGACAAGUCCCACUGAUUGUACUCCUUCUGUUAAGUGAUAUACAAUAAAGCGCUAACUUUAGCUGCAUUCUUCGAACUCACAUGUGUAUCUUUGUGGCAUCCUGAGUAGACAAAGUACAGCGUCAGGGUACGAUGUAACAGUAUUAUAGACACGUAUGAUUCUUUUUACAAUUCAAGCAAUUUCUACUGUCCUUACUGCAAUGUAUAGAUCGUGUCGGUGUUGGGAUAGUGGUCAGACAGUGUUGUUCGCUAUUGUUGUAUGUAAUUAAAUUUCUUUGUCUUUAACUAUAUUGUAGCGAAGCAUUUAUUAUUUUACACUAGUAUUAACAGAGUAUCAUAUUUUAUGUUUAUAGUUUACUACUCUGUAAACUUCCCUCAUUCCUUAUCUUUUGUUUAUCUUUCAUAGUUUGUUCUUGUCUUAAAUAAAUUUCUGUCUCAUCUUGAAGUUUGUCUUCCUCAACUUACCCAGCAUCUCCACCAAAAUACCACGUGGAAAAUUAGGGAAGAAAAACUUCGGGAUGAGACAGCGAUUUAUUUAAGUCAAGAACUAACAAUGAAUAAUAAACAAAAGAUAAGCAAAUGAGGGAAGUUUACAGAGUAGUAAAAUAUAAACAUACAUGAAACUCUGUUAAUAAAAUAAUAAAUGGUUCGCUACAAUAUAAUCUCAAGUGGCGUAUAGAUGUGUUGUCCUAUUGUAGUAUUUCUUCUCUAAAACACGCUAUUUUAGCUGUUGUUUUCAUUUUGAAAAUAGUUAGCUUAGGUUUAACCUUUCAGUUCUGACAACCUUGAGUAUAUUCAUCAUAUCACUAAUAAGACAGCCUUAGUGCCAAUUAUAUGUUCUGUUCCAAGACCACUUUAUUAGGGAUAUCUCAAAAAGAGAAACCUAGCUUAUGGUAUUUACUAUGAAUAAUGGGGGUCGGUGGAAGGAUGGUCUAAACUGUUGGUUUUCGAUCGCUACGACCCUGGUUCGAUUCCCGCAUUGGGUACAUUUUUCUGAUAAAAAAAUGCUUUAAUGGCCCACGAUUCUUUCAAAAGUCCAACCCCACCAGUGAAUGCAAGUAACCAAAACGGGGCUCUGGCAUAUUUGUAAGUGCAAAGUCGAACUGCUUUUCACAUGUGUAGACAUGUAGUGUACUUACAGUAAAAGAAGUCGCUAACUACCCACCAUGAUUAUCAUGGUCUGUAUCACGUGUACUAGGGAUAAGCCAAACAAUGAUGUGACUAUUGUGGGAUACGAUCCCGGUACAUGGAUGUCGGGAAUCGAGGGUUUUAAACACUCGUCCACCGACUUUUCCCCCAAUUAUAUUUCAAGCAGGCGACAUCCUAGCUCUCAGUGUACUUCUGGUUAGAAAAGUUGACUAGGUUCUGUGGUGCAGGCCCAACAGCCGUGAUCCGGAAUCCCGCAUUGUGUAUUCUUCCAUGCUUUACCUGCUCGCGAUUCUUGCACAAGUCCAACCCCACCAGAGAGUACUGACAAAAGUUACUAUUUACGGGAUAACACACAAAGUUGCAUAUUACUAGAACCUACAGUAAGAGUAACUAACAUAGAGAAAAACGUGCACUCAAGAGUACAACAACAACAACAAAAGGAGCAAAAUAAAAAACCUCACGAUUUGUUAUAUAAAAACAAAACAGUACUUUUAUUGUAGCGUUGGUAGGGAUCGGACCGGGGUCACACAGGUAUGUGAGGAGAUCACCAGACACGGAUAAAUCACACAGAGAACACUUUAAACGUCUCCACACAAUAAUCCACCACACUGGUCUCUCGUAAUACCAUAGUCCCUUCUUAUAUACAAACAUGGCCACAUUCGUCCAAUGACGUGAGAGAUUGGUUCACUUAACAAACAAAAACAAAAAUCUUCCCACUAAAACCUGAGAAAUGAUAAAAGUGAAAUUAUUUGUCAAUAUAAUUUGACAGUACAAGUAACCAAACAGGGCUCUGGUACCUUAAAAGUGCAAACUUUGAACUGUUUUUUACAUAUGUGACACUUGGGGCUCUUAUAGGGUAAAAAAACAAUCGUUAUCUACCCCUCAUGAUUAUCAUGGCUCACUGGUGUUUGGCUGCUUGCACUGCAUCCAGGUUUCUGUAUGUAAAACAUUGUUCUUUGCAUUUACAAGAUGUGCUAGUCUCGUUUGGUGGAACAGCUAUGAAAUAUAUAGUGUUGUUGAGUCAUGGGAUUUAUUUUUUUUUUUUUCAUUUGUUGGGAAACUUCAGGUGCGUGUCAAAAGUUUUUAAUCAAUAAUAUUUUUAGUAUAUUUGAAUUUUUCUAUUUCUUAUUAAAAUUAUAUAUUUAAAUAAAAAAAAAAAUUAUGACGUAAAAAAAAAAAGUAGUCAAACAAGGGUUCGAACCCUUGACCUUACUAUCAGCGGGCAUAACUUUGGAAUGCUAUAUUUUCAAUGUAAAAAAAAAAAUGCAUUCCUAAUUAAAUAAAAAUAUAAAAACACAAAAAAAGAGUUAGGUCCAACUAUAUCGGCGAGGCUCCCAUUUGGACACUAUUCACGGACGCGAUCCCACUACCGCCCUGCGCGGGAGCUUUUGCCUGCUGCGUUUCCGCCCUGGGCCGGUCCACUCCUCCUUAGCUGACCUGGAGGCCCCGGGCUCCCCCGGGGUCGCCAUAUUGACGCUGGGCCUAGUGCGGACAUCCGGUCAACAUAGGGAACCAGAAGGGAGGGCUCCUCGCCUCAAGCCGUCCACCAACCCCGGCCUCCAAGUAGCUGGAUUACAGGAGCACGCCACGACUCCCAGCCGCCAGUUUAUCUCGGAACUUAUAUUUCAACUGAAGAUAACACCUUUUUACAUUUAAUUAUGCAUUUACUGAUUUAUAAAUCUUUUAAAAAUUAUUAUACAGUUAAUUGGUAGGGAAUUAUAAUUUAAUUUCUCUUUUUUAAUGUAACGCUUGAAUCGGUUGUUAGCAAACAGCAGACACUGCCCGCCAUCUAGUGUUAGAAAUUGUAACUAUUUUUGAAUGUCCCCUUUUUCACCCCUAAUAUACAUGCAUUUAUCUCUCUAUAUAUAUAAGCCUAUUUUAAUAUAUAUAAUUACUGUAUUAAUAUAUACAUGAAAAAAUAAAAAGGUCAGGUGUUAAUAUUAAAAAUAAAAAAGGCAUAUAUUUUUAAUAUAUAUAUAAAAUAUUUAUAUUAGAACAUUGGCCUGAAUACAAAAGACUAAUCCUAGUAGAUACUUAAAAUCUCAAAUAUGUGAGCAAAGAAUGACUUUUAAAAAUAUAAAAAUAUUUACCAACAAAGUUUUUUUAAUUAUUAUUAAUUAAAAAUAAUAGCUUUCAAACGAUAAUUGCUCUUUAACGGUCUUAAUACAAAAAAACAUCGACUAUAUUUUACUCUAGAAGUAUUUACAAAUACGUACGCGCACAGUGUGGAUAUUUACAACUGAAAUUUUAAAAUUGAAAUGUAAUUUAACAAUGUUAUGUAAUAUAUGUCUAUGUUUUUAGGGCAACCAUGGAAUAGAAAACUAACCUACUUUGUAGAAAUAAUGAGAGCAAAUGGUUUGAGGAAGAUGUUGAUGUUAGAAAAAAAUGAAGAUAGAGACGAAGACCUCCAAUGAGCUGGCUAUAAGAAGCUGCGAGAAAUUGUCACUAGAAGAUCAAAUUGAAGAAUAUUUGUCCAUAUUAACAACAAUAAACUCCGUCUUUGCCGGUCCCAAGCCCAGGUGAAAAAGGAGGAGGGGGAGCAGUAACAAGCUCACUAAAAAACCUGGGCUCAGCUGGCCAUGCUGAUAGUACUCUGUAAGGUCUCCAGGGAUAAAGGAUGAGUCUGUACUCCAUGUUAGGAGCGGCUGCACAUGGCAUCUGUUCCUCAUGUCAGAGGCGGCCAUUUCUUCUGGAGCUAAGUCGGCCUGCCACUGAGUAGUGCUCCCAGUCUUAAUGACAAAGGCAGACUACUUCACCCAGUCAUGAUGGUUGUCAAACAGACACCAUCAAGGGUCACAACUUGAUACCCUAAUAUGAUUUAGUGGAGAUAAGAAAGAAGAAGACAACAAUGACUUUAUAAAUAGCUGCGUGAUUGUGCAAGACAAGGUGACUCGAACGUAACACCUGUAAAACUGAGAUGAAAUAAAUACUUUUGAGAUUGUUCCCUGUUGGGUUUGGCGAUCUAUGGAUGCACUCCAGGAGUCUGGGUUACCUUUUUGUUACUACUCCUACUCCAAUACUGGGUAGUUGGCGUUCUACGCUCAUGGAACCUGGUUUAUAAAUAUAUUUUAUUAGAAUGCAUUAGCGCGCCAUCUGUUAUGAAAAUUUGAAACUAUUAUAGACGCGUAUGAUUCUUUUUAAAAUUAAACAAUUUCUACUGCCCUUACUGUAAUGAAAAAAUUAAUGGGCUUUCCCAUUAGGCGGCCAUUUCUUUUAGAGCUAAGUCGGCCUGCCACUGAAUAGUGCUCCCAGUCUUAAUGACAAAGGCAGACACAUUCUACUUCACCCAGUCAUGAUAGUUGUCAAACAGACACCAUCAAGGGUCACAACUUGAUACCCUAAUGUUCCCAUGUUCCCCCUCUAUGUUCCCAUUACAGUAAGGGCAGUAGAAAUUGUUUAAUUUUAAAAAGAAUCAUACGCGUCUAUAAUAGUUUAAAAUUUUCAUAAAUAUCUUUGAUGAAAACAAAUUGCACGUAUUUUGAGGCAAUUACUUUGUUAUUAUAUAUUUAUUUCCAAGAUUAUUGUCUUUGAUGAGUUGAAUAUUUGUUUUGACUCGUGCUUUAGAUGUUGUACAAAAUUUGAAAAAUCGCGUAGAACGCCCUUGCAUUUUCAGAAUAAUUUUUAACGCCUUACCAAAUGCUUUAUUUUUAUUUCUUCCAGACUCAACCUCAGCAUGGAACUUCCUCGUCAACUGGUUCUACUCAGCAAUCAAAACAGGACGUGGGUAAAAGCGCUUAGCACUAUUCCAUACUGGUGAACUGGACUCGCGAUAAUGAAAUAUUUGCGCCUAUUACAGAGGAAACAAACAAACAAAUUAGAACUUAGAAUUAAAUAUUUACCAAUUUACAUGUAUUAAUCGACAGAGUUCAUAAAAUGUAUAUAGACAAAGAUGUAAGAGAGUUAAAUCAUUUAGAUCAGGGAACAAUCUCACUUCUGUAAAGUUCGGACAAUCGUAGAUAAGGUGAAGUUUGUUCAGUUUCUCCGCAGGAACAAUUUGGUGUUUCUGAUAGACCUCUUUUAUGUAAGUAUUUCUGGCCGUGUGAUGUGAUAACACUGGUCAACAACAUUCUUGCCCUAGAGAACCUGAUGGUGUUUCUAGUGUAACUUUUCAUGCUGAACUCAAAAAUCAGAAAUUUUCCAUCACCCAUGAUUUUUGCGUGACAGCCUUUUUUUGGUAUUGGGAUAAAUACAUUUAAAAAAUGCAAAAAAUAUUACGUAAGCAUUUUUUCAUAAACCUUAUUACAUUACACUGGUUUGUCAAAAAGUAUUUUUAUUUGUCCCAAAAGAAACAGCAUCUUAUCUAAAUUUAACUCUUUGUGCUGAUUCCAAAUAUACCGUUAGUUUUUUCUGUUUCAAAAGUUACAUUAGAAUAAACAUCAGGUUUUCUCCGGCAAAAAAAAAAAAAAGUUUUUGUGUAGACCUGUGUAAUUUGAAUGACUAUAAAAUUUGGAUGGAACUGUGUAGAAAAUUCCGUUUGCGAAAUUUUUUUUGUAUUUGCCAAAAUUGAUUCUGUGCGUUUUGCGAAAAGACGAUCAAAGAAAUGUAUCAAUGCAUCGAUUGAAAUGGAGGGGCGCUUUUUUGAACAUCUUCCGUAUACACCUAUCCCCCGAUUUACACGGUAGUUACGUUCCUGAGAAAAACGUGUAAAUCGGGGGAUAGGUGUACACAGAAAUAAAAAUAAAAUGCAUUGACAGGUUAAAAUAUGUAGUCAGCACAUAAGCUCGGGAUUCCUCGUGAGAUGUGUACACAGCGCAUGUGUUCAAUCACAGUAGCAUUUAGUAUAGUGCGAUAAAAACAAAAAAAAAAAAACUUAUUUGGAAAACCGUGUAAAAGCGAAAACGUGUAAAACAAGUACCGUGUAAAUCGGGGGAUAGGUGUAUUCCAAUAUGCAAAUAUACGGAAUACAAACAUUGAUAUUCAACCACAAACAUUGAUAUGUAAAACGACAUUUGAAAAAUUUCCCGCAUGUGUUUCUUUUAAACGAAAAAUCGAAAUAUAUUUUUAAGGAGAAAUAACGAUUAUUUCUAUCCUUAGGGAUGAAGUAUGAAAGGAUGAAUUGUAAAGAGUAAUGACGGAUUCCCAUCCCUGGACACUUUAUUUUUUCCUUUAUCAUUACUCUUCACAAUCCAUCCUUUCAUACUUCAUCCCUAAUCGUUAUUUCUCCUUAAAAAUAAAUUUCUAUUUUUCGUUUAAAAGAAACACAUGCGGGAUAAUUUUCAAAUGUCGUUCUACAAUCAUAAGUCGCAUAUUGUAUUAUAAACAUUGAUAUGUUGAAUUAUUCAUUUUCUCUCAAUUUAUCUUCAUAUAACAUUUAUUACAAGUAUUAUUGUCGGAAGACAGAGAAAACAUAUUCCAUAUUUACUUCAGUGUAGCAUUUUUCGAUUGUUCUAUCUUACUUUUUAUCGUUCUGGUGACCCUAUCAAAUGGCUUGUGAUAAGUCGAUAUCUUAAAGUAUGAUUCCUGAUACUUGGUUCUAUCCAUCUUGGUUGGUCUUAUGUCUUUCUGAUACAUUUCUGUCGACUGAAGAUUAUCGAAUGCAACCAAAUAAAUACACCUUUAUUAUUGGGCCAUUUUUCUUUGAAAAAAUCAAUGGGGGGAAGAACUUUUAAAACCGUUUCUGUAACUGGUGAACGUUAUGUUCAACUUUUGAGAGAAAAGGUUAUUCCCAUAUUACAGGACAGAC